AGGCUACAUUUCCUUUGCUUGUCUCAUGUAUAAAUCCCGCUUAUGGUCGUUGAACUCGUUGGCGGGAAUGUAGAGAUGUGUCGCUUUAUCCUGUCAAUUUCGCGACACUUGAGAUAAACAUUGUUAAGAGUGGCAUAAUAAUUAUUGAGUUCAAUAAUUAAAAAAACGAUUCACUAGGAUAUGUACAUUAUAUGGCAGAAUAGUCGUGGAAUAAGUUUUAAAGUUGAAAAGAGAUUUUCAAAAGUGAAAUGCGUGGUUCAAAUGGCUAUGUAUAUGGAUCUUUUUAGUGGGUUGCGAUCCCGAUCCCGUAGUAGAUUCUGCAAAGCACUGCUUUUAAUAUGACUUGCGAGUUUUUAAACGUUCUCGAUAGAGUAACUCAAAUUUUUAUGGAGUUGUAUGGACCUGCGCCAUAUUGUGACAUUUGUGACGUCAUAGCUGUCAAAUCGAAAAAUAAAAGCCGGUUGUUGGAGGCCGUGGGCAUCACUGCGUGAACACCGGCGUCUACCUUGAGACGACGUAUAUUGGUAUGUCAAUAACAUCUGUCCUAACUCUUCUGUUGGACCAAUGAAUACUUCGCGGCAGAAUCACAGUGAAGAAACACAAGACGGCGGUAGCUGCCCAGGGCGACAACUAGUUCUAUCACCAAUAAACGGUACAUAUAAAUUUAUUCUCUGUAUUAUUUAUAUUCAUUUAUCAUUUAUUCGUUUCUUUCAUUCAUCUCUUUAUUCAUUUAUUAUUUACAUAUUUAUUUAUUCUUUUUACUUCAACACUAUAAAUCAACGGUCGGGAAACC